rnacentral:lncRNA from 1 species
UUCUGGAGACAGGCACCGCGAGUGCUACCUACUGUUAGGACCCCGGAUCCAGUAUAAAUUCCGCCACAUGCGGCGUUGCGUUCUCUUCCUGGCCGCUCUGCUCACUUGUUCUGUUGAUGAACUUUGUGCGCGUCUUGCCGGCAUGUGCGGUUAUAAAUGGCUUUUCUACGUGGGUCGCGGGUUCGGUGUAGAGCUCGAAUGUUUGCAGCGAGAAGAGAGACCACAUCACCCGCUGCGGUUCUGCAAUGGCUGACUGCAGGUUCCUCGCUGUAGACGCUGCUUCUGUCCCCCCGGACCGGCGUGUCCCCGCUUGCAGUUCGGCGGCCGUGGAAGACCUGUUUAUCUCUCAGGGCCAGUGUAAGGGAACCACUCAGCUCUGCAGAACCCAGAGUGUUGCCGGAUGGAUGUGGAUCUUGCAAUUUGGGUCCGUGGAUCCACUAUGCUGUGAUAAGUUCCUUUUAUUUGCCGGAAUACACUGAGCGUUGGAUGUUGGAACAUCAUUCCCAGAAAUCCCAAAAUAAAGACUUCUAACAUUUUCCUUGUCUGAUUUAU